GUCAAGCCCUAAAGCCUUGGGUUUCCGUGUCUAACGUUUAACAAUUUAUCUUAUUUAAAAAAAAUUAAAAAGACAAGUCAUGUAUAAAGCAUUAAUUAUGUUUUAUCAUCUAACAAUAAUAAAAAUACUAAUUAUAAAAAAAAUUUAAAUAAGACGGACGGUCAAUCGUUGGACACGGAAAUUUAGGGUUUAUUUUUUU
rfam:Oryza nivara chromosome 1, whole genome shotgun sequence.